rnacentral:rRNA from 1 species
UAUUGGACAAUGGGCGCAAGCCUGAUCCAGCCAUGCCGCGUGGAUGAUGAAGGCCUUAGGGUUGUAAAGUCCUUUCGACGGGGAAGAUAAUGACGGUACCCGUAGAAGAAGCCCCGGCUAACUUCGUGCCAGCAGCCGCGGUAAUACGAAGGGGGCUAGCGUUGCUCGGAAUCACUGGGCGUAAAGCGCACGUAGGCGGACUCUUAAGUCGGUGGUGAAAUCCUGGAGCUCAACUCCAGAACUGCCUUCGAUACUGAGAGUCUCGAGUCCGGGAGAGGUGAGUGGAACUGCGAGUGUAGAGGUGAAAUUCGUAGAUAUUCGCAAGAACACCAGUGGCGAAGGCGGCUCACUGGCCCGGUACUGACGCUGAGUGCGAA